UUUCCCCUUGACCAUGGCACAAAUCUCUGUCCUUGUCUUGAUUUUUUCUUACUAUGCAGGAUCCUGGGGCCAGUUUGUACUGACUCAGCCACCCACCCUGUCAGUAGCCCCUGGGGGCAGAGCUGUGAUCAGCUGCACAAGGAACACUGCAAGCAUCAACAAGUACCACGUCUCCUGGUACCAACAGAAGCCCAACAGUUUGCCCAAGUUGUUGAUCUAUCAGCACAACAAGAGACCCCCUGGGAUCCCAGAGCGAUUCUCAGGAUUUACAGGGGGGUCUUCUGCCACCUUAACCAUCAGCAAUGUCCAAGCGGAAGAUCUGGCAGAUUAUUAUUGCUCAUCUUACGACAGCAAUUGGCUGCCCACAGUGAUGCCGUCUCAAGGGGAAGUGAAACAAAAACCCAUCUCCUUGGCAGCUGAAGUAGACCCAGCAGGAAAGAAGUCACUGAUUUACAAGAUCCCUGCAUUCUUGGCCACGAGAGGAAGGCUACCCGCUUCCCUUCUGCCCUUGAAGCGGUGA